rnacentral:rRNA from 1 species
GAGCGGCGAACGGGUGAGUAACACGUGAGCAACCUACCCUUCACUUCGGGAUAAGCCUCGGAAACGGGGUCUAAUACCGGAUAUCACCUCAUUCUUCAUGGUUUGGGGUUGAAAGUUCUGGCGGUGGGGGAUGGGCUCGCGGCCUAUCAGCUUGUUGGUGGGGUAAUGGCCUACCAAGGCGUCGACGGGUAGCCGGCCUGAGAGGGCGACCGGCCACACUGGGACUGAGACACGGCCCAGACUCCUACGGGAGGCAGCAGUGGGGAAUAUUGCGCAAUGGACGGAAGUCUGACGCAGCAACGCCGCGUGAGGGAUGACGGCCUUCGGGUUGUAAACCUCUUUCAGCAGGGACGAAGCGAGAGUGACGGUACCUGCAGAAGAAGGACCGGCCAACUACGUGCCAGCAGCCGCGGUAAUACGUAGGGUCCGAGCGUUGUCCGGAAUUAUUGGGCGUAAAGGGCUCGUAGGCGGUUCGUCGCGUCGGGAGUGAAAACUCGGAGCUCAACUCCGAGCCUGCUUCCGAUACGGG